GAUGAACGCUAGCGGCAGGCUUAAUACAUGCAAGUCGAACGGUAAGUUGAAUAGCAAUAUUUGACCUAGAGUGACGUACGGGUGCGUAACACGUAUGCAACCUACCCAAAACAGGAGUAUAGCUCGGGGAAACUCGAAUUAAUCCUCCAUGAGAUCAUAGAGUAGCAUUACUUAGUGAUUAAAACUCAGGUGGUUUUGGAUGGGCAUGCGUCUGAGUAGUUAGUUGGCGGGGUAACGGCCCACCAAGACGAUGAUCAGUAGGGGAACUGAGAGGUUGAUCCCCCACACUGGCACUGAGAUACGGGCCAGACUCCUACGGGAGGCAGCAGUAGGGAAUAUUGGUCAAUGGGUGCAAGCCUGAACCAGCCAUGCCGCGUGCAGGAAGAAGGCCUUCUGGGUUGUAAACUGCUUUUGCCAGGGGAUAAAAUUUCCUUGCGAGGAAAAUUGAAGGUACCUGGUGAAUAANCCACGGCUAACUACGUGCCAGCAGCCGCAGUAAGAC
rnacentral:rRNA from 1 species